GAUAACAACUAGUGAAACAAAUAUAAAUACAUAUUUACCUUCAGCAUGCUCUUAAUAUUUAAAUUGAACAUUUUAAAAUUAAAAAAAAACAAGAAAGGAAGCAAACUUCGGCAAGCCGAAGUUCAUAUACCCUUGCAGCUAUAUCAAAAACUAAAUACUCUUGAAAACGUUAAAAUUAUGAUUUACUUGCGUGUAUGUUCAAAAACAUUGAAGCUAUGAUGAUUUGCAGCUUAAUUAUUCGAUAGUUCCUAUGACAGCUAUAGUCGUCCGAUUUUGAUGAAAUUUAAACCGUUAUUCUGAAUUAUUUAACUAUUACUAUAUCUCGAAGAACUAAAAAAAAAUUAAAAAACACCAAAGUUAUAAUUUUUUUUUAUUUAUUUUUCCGAUUGUUCCUAUGGGAGACAUAUGCUAUAGUCGUCCGAUCCGGCUCGUUCCGACUUAUAUACUACCUGCAAUAGAAAGAAAACUUUUGGGAAAGUUUCAUGCAGAUAGCUUUAAAACUGAGAGACUAGUUUGCGUAGAAACGGAGGGAUCAGUGAUGCUGAUCAAGAAUAUUUAACUUUAUAGGGUUGGAGAUGUCUUCUUCACUGCGUUGCAAACUUCUGACUGAAAUUAUAAUAGCCUCUGCAAGGGUAUAAAAAACAAGAAAAAACUUUAUAGUUUGACUUCAGACUUUUGGUUCCAUAUUAGAAUAUUUAAUUGAAAAUGGGGCUUACGUUUAACCACAGUGUUUUAAACAUAUAAUAAAUGGCAUGCUAAUAAAAGCCAAGAAGAUUUUGGUGAGGUUCAUAUAAGCCUACGAACAAACCUUCCUUACUCUAGAUCUCAAAGUUUAAUUAUAAAGACUAACGAACGGACUUCUCCUAAUCGAUUUGGCUAAUAAUGCGCAUGGAAACCAUUUCUUCAAGGUUGAUAUCUAGGCGGAUAGCGGUAAAAACUACUCAGUAGGCCUUAUAUGCGAGCGUAUGAAUUCGAGCAGCUUAAUUUACUUUAAUUUACUAAUUUUAUAACGGUACAGUAGGCUUUUAGAUAUAAUCAUAAAAGAACUGGAAUUUAAACAUUAUUAUCGACAGGACGGGAUUAACUAUGGAACAAAACAGCUUAAAGGAAAGGCAGUAUCUGUAUACAAGUCACUCCCAGCUAAUAAUUAAACACUUAUUUUUAUAUUAUUAAACUGUAACAUAUGUUUUAUCACAUAAUUAGAAAACACUUCACUCGAUUCGAAAUAUAAGUACUAACACGUAGCUUUCUCAAUCCAACUUAGUAAUUAUAUUCCUAUUGUACCAGUAAUCCCAAUAAAUACAACUGUUUCCGCAGCGCAUUGUGUUAGAAAAUAACAGACAAACACACAUCAAAACUAUACGACACUAAGAAAAUUUGUCGUUUAAAACUGUUGUCAAAUUUCUUAUAUUUAUAGAACAGUACACAAAGACUAACCAUUAAUCAUUAAAGACAUGGGGUAACCACCCAUUUUUUUAACCCUUUAAGGAGCUACCUAAUUUGAAGUUAAUUUAUAGAAGUUAUUUGGAAGAGACUGCACCUGCUUUGUCGAAAAUUGUUUUGUUAAGAUCGACAGAGGUAUUUAAAUAAUUGAUUUACAAUGCUUAAAGUGAUUUAUAAAAAUUAAAUCGUAAUAAAAAUAAAUAUUUGAAAAUUAAAUGAACAGCACUUUAACGAUUUAAAAA